rnacentral:rRNA from 1 species
GAUGAACGCUAGCGGCAGGCUUAACACAUGCAAGUCGGGCGGCAGCGGGGUGGGAGCUUGCUCCCACUGCCGGCGAGCGGCGCACGGGUGAGUAACACGUAUGCAACCUGCCCCUGUCAGGGGGACAACCCGCCGAAAGGCGGGCUAAGCCCGCGUAUAUCUCCCCGGGGCAUCCCGGGGGGAGGAAAGGAGCGAUCCGGACAGGGAUGGGCAUGCGGCGCAUUAGCUGGUCGGCGGGGUAACGGCCCACCGAGGCGACGAUGCGUAGGGGUUCUGAGAGGAAGGCCCCCCACACUGGAACUGAGACACGGUCCAG